rnacentral:rRNA from 1 species
AUUGAACGCUAGCGGGAUGCCUUACACAUGCAAGUCGAACGAGUGGCGGACGGGUGAGUAAUAUCUCGGAAAGUGCCCAGUAGAGGGGGAUAACUACUCGAAAGAGUGGCUAAUACCGCAUACCCUUGGAGCGGCCGAUAUGGGAUUAGCUAGUUGGUGGGGUAAAGGCUCACCAAGGCAACGAUCCGUAGCUGGUUUGAGAGGACGACCAGCCACACUGGGACUGAGACACGGCCGAGACUCCUACGGGAGGCAGCAGUGUGGAAUAUUUGACAAUGGGGGAAACCCUGAUCCAGCCAUCCCGCGUGUAUGAGAAGGCCUUCGGGUUGUAAAGUACUUUCGGCAGGGAAGCGGUACCUGCAGAAUAAGCACCGGCUAACUACGUGCCAGCAGCCGCGGUAAUAC